AAAGUCCCCUUCGGGGGAUAAGUAAAGUGGCGUCCGGGUGAGUAACACGUAGGUAAUCUACCUUCGGGUGGGGAAUAACCCAGGGAAACUUGGGCUAACACCGCAUAAUGCAGCGGCACCACAUGGUGACAGUUGUUAAAGCGGGGGAUUUUAGGACCUCGCGCCUGAAGAGGAGCCUGCGGCGGAUUAGCUAGUUGGUAAGGUAACGGCUUACCAAGGCGACGAUCCGUAGCCGGCCUGAGAGGGCGGUCGGCCACACUGACACUGACAUACGGGUCAGACUCCUACGGGAGGCAGCAGUCGGGAAUUUUGGGCAAUGGGCGAAAGCCUGACCCAGCAACGCCGCGUGAAGGAUGAAAUCCCUCGGGAUGUAAACUUCGCAAGAAUGGGAAGAAUUAGCGAGCGCUAAUACCGCUCGUGAUGACGGUACCAUUUGUAAGCUCCGGCUAACUCCGUGCCAGCAGCCGCGGUAAUACGGGGGGAGCAAGCGUUGUUCGGAUUUACUGGGCGUAAAGGGCGCGUAGGCGGUCAGCACAAGUCAGUUGUGAAAUCUCCGGGCUUAACUCGGAAAGGUCAACUGAUACUGUGCGACUAGAGUGCGGAAGGGGCAACUGGAAUUCUCGGUGUAGCGGUGAAAUGCGUAGAUAUCGAGAGGAACACCUGCGGCGAAGGCGGGUUGCUGGGCCGACACUGACGCUGAGGCGCGAAAGCCAGGGGAGCGAACGGGAUUAGAUACCCCGGUAGUCCUGGCCCUUAAACGAUGGAUGCUUGGUGUCUGGGGUUUUAUAGU
rnacentral:rRNA from 1 species